rnacentral:rRNA from 1 species
UACGUAGGGGGCAAGCGUUGUCCGGAUUUACUGGGCGUAAGGCGCCUGUAGGCGGCUUGUCAAGUCCGGCCUGAAAGCCCCCGGCUCAACCGGGGAGGGUGGCUGGAAACUGGCAGGCUUGAGGGCGAGAGAGGAGGGUGGAAUUCCUGGUGUAGCGGUGAAAUGCGCAGAUAUCAGGAGGAACACCAAUGGCGAAGGCAGUGUCCUGGAGGGUGACUGACGCUGAGGCGCGAAAGCUAGGGGAGCGAACAGG